rnacentral:lncRNA from 1 species
UUUAAAAAUCAAGAUGUUAUGUGUGUGAUUAAUUUCCCUUAUGAAUUUCGAUCAGUUUGAUUAUUAAUAACUUUAGGGGUCUUAAAAUGUUUUUAUCACUUAUUUUCUGUAAAUGUGACAGUUACACAGCUUGCAAGUGAUUGUAACUAGCACCAUAUAUAAAGAACUAUUCUCCAGUUUUUUACCACAAUGCUAAUGGACAAUAGCUUAAUUUGCUGCAGUAGCAGUAGUAAAAGAAACUUGACAUUGCUUUACUUUUGUAUAGUUCACCUGCAGGAUCAGGUAGAUAAUGAUGUGGACAAAUGCAGUGCAGGGCGUCCACAUGAAACCUUGGAAGUCUGAAUGAUGUUUGCAUGUCUGUCAGAA